rnacentral:rRNA from 1 species
GGGCACGCAGGCGGUUUGCCAAGCGUCCGAUGACAGCUCUCGGCUUCACUGAGAGAGGAGUGGAUGAACUGGCAGACUUGAGGGCCAGAGAGGAACCGAGAAUUCCGGGUGGAGUGGUGAAAUGCGUAGAUAUCAGGAGGAACACCUGCGGUGUAGACGGCUUUCUGGACCAUUGUUGACGCUGAGACACGAAAGCGUGGGUAGCAAACAGGAUUAGAUACCCUGGUAGUCCAUGCCGUAAACGUUGGGCGCUAGGUGUGGGGUCCAUUCCACGGGUUCCGUGCCGCAGCUAACGCAUUAAGCGCCCCGCCUGUGGAGUACGGCCGCAAGGCUAAAACUCAAAGGAAUUGACGGGGGCCCGCACAAGCGGCGGAGCAUGUGGAUUAAUUCGAUGCAACGCGAAGAACCUUACCAAGGCUUGACAUGCACCGGACGACUGCAGAGAUGUGGUUUCCCUUUGUGGCUGGUGUGCAGGUGGUGCAUGGUUGUCGUCAGCUCGUGUCGUGAGAUGUUGGGUUAAGUCCCGCAACGAGCGCAACCCUCGUUCCAUGUUGCCAGCGGGUUAUGCCGGGGACUCAUGGGAGACUGCCGGGGUCAACUCGGAGGAAGGUGGGGAUGACGUCAAAUCAUCAUGCCCCUUAUGUCUUGGGCUUCACGCAUGCUACAAUGGCUGGUACAGAGGGCUGCAAUACCGUGAGGUGGAGCGAAUCCCUUAAAACUGGUCUCAGUUCGGAUUGGGGUCUGCAACUCGACCCCAUGAAGUCGGAGUCGCUAGUAAUC